rnacentral:rRNA from 1 species
AGUGAACGCUGGCGGUAGGCCUAACACAUGCAAGUCGAACGGCAGCACAGUAAGAGCUUGCUCUUACGGGUGGCGAGUGGCGGACGGGUGAGGAAUACAUCGGAAUCUACUUUUUCGGGGGGGAUAACGUAGGGAAACUUACGCUAAUACCGCAUACGACCUACGUGUGAAAGCAGGGGAUCUUCGGACCUUGCGCGAUUGAAUGAGCCGAUGUCGGAUUAGCUAGUUGGCGGGGUAAAGGCCCACCAAGGCGACGAUCCGUAGCUGGUCUGAGAGGAUGAUCAGCCACACUGGAACUGAGACACGGUCCAGACUCCUACGGGAGGCAGCAGUGGGGAAUAUUGGACAAUGGGCGCAAGCCUGAUCCAGCCAUACCGCGUGGGUGAAGAAGGCCUUCGGGUUGUAAAGCCCUUUUGUUGGGAAAGAAAAGCAGCAGGUUAAUACCCCGCUGUUCUGACGGUACCCAAAGAAUAAGCACCGGCUAACUUCGUG